GACGAACGCUGGCGGCGUGCCUAAUACAUGCAAGUAGAACGCAGUUGCGAACGGGUGAGUAACGCGUAGGUAACUGCCUCAUAGCGGGGGGUAACUAUUGGAAACGAUAGCUAAUACCGCAUACUGUGAGAUGGACCUGCGUUGUAUUAGCUAGUUGGUGAGGUAAAGGCUCACCAAGGCGACGAUACAUAACCUGCCUGAGAGGGUUAGCGAGCCAACUGGGACCGGGACACGGGCCAGGACUCCACGGGAGGCCGGCGUAGGGAAUCUUCGGCAAAGGACCGAAGUCUGACCGAGCAACUGCGCGUGAGUUAAGAAGGUUUUUGGGUCGGUAAACUCUGUUGUGAGAGAAGCGGUACCUAACCAGAAAGGGACGGCUAACUACGUGCCAGCAGCCGCGGUAAUUC
rnacentral:rRNA from 1 species